rnacentral:misc_RNA from 1 species
UUCUUCUGCUGUACCACCAAUCUCUCCAAUAAGAACAAUACCUUCAGUUUGAGGAUCUGCUAAGAACUUUAUCAUGCAGUCAACAAAAUUUGUUCCAUUGAAAGGGUCCCCACCAAUGCCCACACAAGUAGAUUGCCCUAAACCAACAGCAGUAGUUUGGAAAACCGCUUCAUAGGUCAAGGUACCCGAGCGAGAAACAAUUCCAAUUCGCCCUGGCUUGUGGAUAUACCCCGGCAUUAUUCCGAUCUUGCAUUCUCCAGGCUUGAUAAUACCAGGACAAUUUGGUCCUAUCAAGCGAGUCUUUGAUUGCUUAUUGAGAGCAGCCUUCACUCGAACCAUGUCAUGCUGCGGG